GGGUAUAUGCGGGGUGCUACACAUGCAGUCGACGAGAAGUGGAGCAAUCCAUGAGUAAAGUGGCGACCGGGUGAGUAACACGUGACUAACCUACCUCCGAGUGGGGAAUAACUCCGGGAAACCGGGGCUAAUACCGCAUAACAUCGCAAGAUCAAAGCAGUAAUGCGCUUGAAGAGGGGGUCGCGGCUGAUUAGCUAGUUGGUGGGGUAACGGCCCACCAAGGCGAUGAUCAGUAGCCGGCCUGAGAGGGCGCACGGCCACACUGGAACUGAAACACGGUCCAGACUCCUACGGGAGGCAGCAGUGGGGAAUUUUGCGCAAUGGGGGAAACCCUGACGCAGCAACGCCGCGUGGAGGAUGAAGUCCCUUGGGACGUAAACUCCUUUCGAUCGGGACGAUUAUGACGGUACCGGAAGAAGAAGCCCCGGCUAACUUUCGUGCCAGCAGCCGCGGUAAUACAAGGGGGCUAGCGUUGCUCGAAUUCUUGGGCGUAAGCGCGCGAAGCGGAUGUUAAUCUCGGGGUAAAUCCUGGAAUUAAUCCCGAAUUGCUUUGAUCCGGCAAUCCAGAUCCGGAAAGUAAGGGAACUCCAGUAAGGGAAAUUCGAAAUUUCCAAACCCGGGGAAGGGGUCUCUGCCCAACUGACCUAAGGGAAACGGGGGAAAAAGAUAAAACCGGUGCCCACGUAAAACUGAGUACCUUGGAAUUUCCCAUGGCACUACACUUACUCCCGGAACGUCGAAUAACACAGAUGCGGCCCACGCGUAUGGUUUUCGACAGAACCCCGCCACUCCCCCAAAGUUUCUCGCAAAGUGUGUGUGCCUCGUAGAUAUCAAAGCUUGUUUUUUUUUUUUUGUCGCACGUGUAUACUCUCUGUUCUACGAACGCACGAUACAAAAUAUGCGUCAGAUGGUAGGGGACUGACUCUAUUGGGGGGUAUGAC
rnacentral:rRNA from 1 species